ensembl:lncRNA
UUUGAAUUCAUUUGCACAGCUAGGUAACAUCCAGAGACCUCCAUACAGCUUUAUAAGAAUGGUUUCCUUUCUCAAAGUAAAUGAGCUCUUGGUAUCUCUUCCAGUCCAGGCAGAUCCUUCCUCUACUGAGCACUAGUGAGGCUGCAACUCAAGCUCUGAGUUCAGUUUUUGGGCCCCUCACUACAAGAAAGGCAUCGAAGCCCUUGAGUGUGACCAGAGACAGCAAACAAAGCUGUGAAAGUCUGGAGCACAAAUCUUAUGGGGAGUGGCUGAAGAAACUGGGAUUGUUCAGCGUGGAGAAGAGGAGGCUCAGGGGAGACCUUAUCUCUCUUCAUUACUCCCUGAGAGGAGGUUGUAGUGAGGUGGGGUUCAGCCUCUUCUCCCAGAUCAAUAAGAUGAGAUGGUGCAACCUUAAGUUGCACCAGGGGAGGUUCAGGUUGGAUAUUAGGAAAAAUUUCUUCUCAGAAAGAACAGUGAGGCAGUGGGAGGUGGUGGAGUCACUGUCCCUGGCAGUGUUCAAGAAGCCUGCGGACAUAACACUGAGGGACAUGGUUAGCAGAGCUCAGUGAAACCAAAGCUGCGAAGAAGAUGUAAUAAAAGAAACUGAAGAGGAAGUGAAAGGGAAGAAGACUGUGUGAUUUUUGAGGAAGAAUCUACAUGCAGCUGAAGCCAGUUGGCUUCAUGGAGGGCGUACAAAAGGGAGCAAUGAAGAGAGUGGAUUUCCAGUCACACAAGAACGCAGUGCUUUAACAAUGGCAACAGAUAUCCUCAGCUUAAUGUUUUGUCGUAAUACAUGGAAAGUAAGAAACAGUCCAUUGAUACUGAGCACUUUAAUGAAUAAAAAAAAAAAAACGAAAAAAGGUUUCAUUCCAGACUUUAAGAAUGCCAAUAUUGUGUAAUAAAAAUGGUA